ensembl:lncRNA
GCCUUCUGGAGGAAAGAUUUAUGGUCAGAUGAGACAAAGAUUGAGUUGUUUGGCCACAAUGACCAGAGGUAUGUUUGGAGGAGUAAAUGUGAGGCAUUCAACCCCAAGAACACUAUACUAACUGUUAAGCAUGGUGGUGGUAGCAUUAUGUUCUGCGCUUGUACCAACUGUUUAGCAUGGUGGGGGUAGCAUUGUGCUCCGGGGCUGUACCAACUGUUAAGCAUGGUGGUGGUAGCAUUGUGCUCCGGGGCUGUACCAACUGUUAAGCAUGGUGGUGGCAGCAUUAUGUUCUGCGCUUGUACCAACUGUUUAGCAUGGUGGUGGUAGCAUUGUGCUCCGGGGCUGUACCAACUGUUAAGCAUGGUGGUGGUAGCAUUGUGCUCCGGGGCUGUACCAACUGUUAAGCAUGGGAUGGUAAUAUUAUGCUCUGGGGCUGUUUUGCUGCCAGUGGAACUGGUGCAUUGCUCAAAGUGGAUGGAAUAAUGAAGAAGGAGGACUACCUUAGAAUUAUUCAGCAUAAUCUCAAACCAUCAGUCAGAAGGUUGAAACUUGGACACAACUGGGUGUUCCAACAGGACAAUGAC